rnacentral:rRNA from 1 species
UACAGAGGAGCCAAGCGUUGUCCGGAUUUACUGGGCGUAAAGAGCGCGCAGGCGGUCGUUCAAGUCGCGUGUGAAAGCCCCCGGCUCAACUGGGGAGGGUCACGCGAUACUGAUCGACUCGAAGGCAGGAGAGGGUAGUGGAAUUCCCGGUGUAGUGGUGAAAUGCGUAGAGAUCGGGAGGAACACCGGUGGCGAAGGCGGGUCUCUGGGCAAUUCCUGACGCUGAGGCGCGAAAGCGUGGGGAGCAAACGGG